rnacentral:rRNA from 1 species
UACGUAGGGUGCAAGCGUUGUCCGGAAUUAUUGGGCGUAAAGAGCUCGUAGGCGGUUUGUUGCGUCGGCUGUGAAAUCCCGAGGCUCAACCUCGGGUCUGCAGUCGAUACGAGCAAACUAGAGUGUUGCAGGGGAGACUGGAAUUCCUGGUGUAGCGGUGAAAUGCGUAGAUAUCUGGAGGAACACCGGUGGCGAAGGCGGCAUCCUGGACCGGCAUUGACGACUGAGGGCGCGAAAAGCCAGGGGGAGCCAAA